rnacentral:rRNA from 1 species
GAUGAACGCUGGCGGCGUGCUUAACACAUGCAAGUCGAACGGAGUUUACUUAACAGAUUCCUUCGGGAUGACGUUUUUUAAACUUAGUGGCGGACGGGUGAGUAACGCGUGGGUAACCUGCCUUACACAGGGGGAUAGCAGUUGGAAACGACUGGUAAUACCGCAUACCUUACAUUAUUCGCAUGUUUGAUGUAAGAAAGAUUUUAUCGGUGUAAGAUGGACCCGCGUCUGAUUAGCUAGUUGGUGUGGUAACGGCAUACCAAGGCGACGAUCAGUAGCCGGCCUGAGAGGGUGAACGGCCACAUUGGGACUGAGAUACGGCCCAGACUCCUACGGGAGGCAGCAGUGGGGAAUAUUGCACAAUGGAGGCAACUCUGAUGCAGCGACGCCGCGUGAGUGAAGAAGUAUUUCGGUAUGUAAAGCUCUAUCAGUAGGGAAGAUAAUGACGGUACCUACAGAAGAAGC